AAGAAGAGUGUAGUUGCAUUGGAACAAUUUAUCUAUUUAUUAAUUAGCAUUAUGUAUGGACGUAACUUUAUUGGAAAGAAAUUAUUGAGUCCUGAUCGCAGAGACGCGAACAGUAACGUCCUUUACAUAAAACUGGGAUAAAGAAAAUACAUUAGUUGUGUUGUUAUGCGCAAUGGUAAUGGGGGGGUUUGCGUCCACAGUUGUUAAAUUGUAUGUCGAUGAGGUCGUCCCGGGGGAGAAAUGUUUUACCAUGCUUGAGCUUGUAUACGGCGCAAAGACAGGCAGCUGCAUCAGGGUCUGAAAGAUGAGCCAUGGUAGGGCAGCAACUACCGUCUGCUAAAUGAGGGGGCACCAAAAGUUUGUAGCAAAUACGCAUAUCAGGGCAAUUUUUGUCCUCAGCCUGUGACCUAACCAUGCAAAAGAAAAGGAGGUUGAUGGAGAGCAGAACAAGGCCAACACUCUUGCUGGAACCCAUUUUCCAAACAGAUUCACAGAAAUAUACUGAUUAGUUUUCUCUCUUCUGCAAGACACCUGAAAUUUGCCAAUUUAUAUGCAAAGGAUAUUUGUU
rnacentral:lncRNA from 1 species